CCCGCACCCAGGCGGUCUCUGCAGUGAACCAGACGCCAGACCCGAGGCCAACUGGGAGGCUGAGUCGGACGUAAAUAGGACGUCCCAGCCAGUGUCGCCUGCGGCGCUGAGAAGACGAGGAAAGGCCAGAUCUUCGCCGCCGAGGGAUGUGAGUGAGAGCCGAACCCGCACGGGAGGGCCCCCGAGGUCUCAGCCUGGGGUACACUCGGACCUUUGCCUGCUCCAGGGGCUUCGCAGACCGUGGCCAGCCGGAGGCACCGGGUUUCGGAGGCAGGCAAGGCAACAAGAUGUGAUCUGUUUCUCUUCUUCAUCCCCUUUCCCCGAAGGUUUAGAUCUAUUUUUCUGGACCUGAUAUCAUCCUCUUUUUGGAUUUACUCUUCUGGUGUGGUGUCUUACAUCUUACGACUUCAAUGUUGCUUUGGAGGUAUCCUGAAGGAGGAAGUAGCAAGGAAAAAAACGUGCACUUUAUAGCUAAAUUACCAAGGAGUGGACUUGUUGGAUCGCGGUGUGAAUGCAAAUGUUCUGAAAACAACUGUGCAUGGGAAUGGCUUGCCUUACAAUGAUAGAAAUGGAAGAAACAUCCACAUCCCCUGUACAUCAGAAUGGUGAUAUUUCUGGAAAUGCUAGUUCUGUGAAGCAAAUAGAUCCAGUCCUACAGGUCUAUCUUUAUCAUUCCCUUGGGAAAGCUGAGGGGGAUUAUCUGAAGUUUCCAACUGGAGAGUAUGUUGCUGAAGAAAUUUGUGUUGCUGCUUCUAAAGCUUGUGGAAUCACACCUGUAUAUCAUAGUAUGUUUGCUUUAAUGAGUGAAACAGAAAGGAUCUGGUAUCCGCCCAACCAUGUCUUCCAUAUAGAUGAAUCAACCAGGCAAAAUGUACUCUACAGAA